rnacentral:rRNA from 1 species
UACGUAGGGGGCAAGCGUUGUCCGGAUUAUUGGGCGUAAAGCGCACGCAGGCGGUCUCUUAAGUUUUGAGUGACAGGUGGUGGCUCAACUACCACAGGCCUUGGAAAACUGGGAGACUUGAGGACUUCAGAGGGAUGCGGAAUUCCAGGUGGAGCGGUGAAAUGCGUAGAGAUCUGGAAGAACACCAAAGGCGAAGGCAGCAUCCUGGGAAGCGCCUGACGCUCAUGUGCGAAAGCUAGGGGAGCGAACGGGAUUGA